AGCAGCCGCGGUAAUUCCAGCUCCAAUAGCGUAUAUUAAAGUUGUUGCAGUUAAAAAGCUCGUAGUUGAAUUUCGGAACCAAUAUGUCGGUCGUGCCUCGGUACGUACUGGUGUCAUUGGUUUCUCCCUUCUGAGGAUCCUUGAUGUCAUUAAUUUGGUGUCUUGGGGAAUCAGGACUGUUACCUUGAAAAAAUUAGAGUGUUUAAAGCAGGCAUACGCUUGAAUACAUUAGCAUGGAAUAAUGAAAUAGGACGUUCGAUUCUAUUUUGUUGGUUUCUAGGAUCGACGUAAUGAUUAAUAGGGAUAGUUGGGGGCAUCAGUAUUCAAUUGUCAGAGGUGAAAUUCUUGGAUUUAUUGAAGACUAACUACUGCGAAAGCAUUUGCCAAGGAUGUUUUCAUUAAUCAAGAACGAAAGUUAGGGAUCGAAGACGAUCAGAUACCGUCGUAGUC
rnacentral:rRNA from 1 species